GGGGGUUUAGCUCAGCUGGGAGAGCACCUGCCUUACAAGCAGGGGGUCAGCGGUUCGAACCCGUUAACCCCCA
rnacentral:tRNA from 1 species